GGAGGUGCAUCCGUCCUGGUGGGCGGCGCGGUCUUCAAAACCGUUGCGGCGUCGUAACGGACGCCGGGUAGGUUCGAUUCCUACGCAUCUCCGCCA
rnacentral:tRNA from 1 species